AUACACAGUGCUCUGAGCAGGCUGCUGCAGCAUCCCAAUUGCAGCAUCCUCAAUUCCCUCCCUAGGAAGCAUCUCCAGCUCCUCGCAAAGGGCCUUCGCGAUGAACCAACCACUGGUACUGCAGUGCUAACGCCAUCCCAGAGGUGCUAGCAGAGAAGAGGGAGAAGAAAAUGCAAGCAUUUCCCAUUCCUUAUUUUCAGAGCAGCAUCCCACCAGCAUGACUCAAGCACAACCAAUAUCAGCAAAACAUAUGUGCACCUAUGUGUCCGUAUCCUUCAAGGCAGACCUCAUGGGAAACAGCCUGAAGUGAUCCCUUGGGAAGGGCCCCAGUCCUUUCGGGAACAGGAUAUGGGGAAAUUGAGGAGUGGGGAAAAGGGGAAAUCAUCAAAUCCUACAGGAUCGUCUCCUCUAGAUAACUGCUGGGCCAGCCACCAGGCAUACAUUAAGCACUGAUCUCAGUCCUGCUGCUUCCCAUGCAUGGGACGAGGAUAAAAAUGUAAGGAAUUUCAGAUAAACGCAUUUGGAAAGCCACUUAGGGCUACUGGACAGAUGAAGGCAAAGAAGGCUGGGGAACAUUUUCAUAAUGAACAGUAAAAGAGGGGCACUGCUCAUCUCCUGAAAUGUGUUAACAAGUUGGUCUUUAGUUCUAGCCCCUGAGUUUUGGUUGUCAAGGCAAUCCUCCAGCACAGAAGCCUUUAAAUAAAGGAUCCCUGUAAGAACAGGAGGGAGCAAUUCCCAAAGCUGAUCUAUGCUAAGACCAUCACUGUUUUAUUUCCAUUUGUCUUGUCAAAAGAGGGAAAACAUUCAACACAAGUGUGCGCACUGGUGUGCCUUGGUGUCAUGCAGACAUCACACAGAGGAUCAAGCACCAUAGGUAUUCCCACAUACACAGGAACAAAGACAGUCCCCAAAGCAAAGGCAAUCCUUCUGGAAGGUUUCCCUUGGUUUCUAAAGGAAAACCAAGAAAACAGUUGCGGGGCUUUAGAUGACAACUAUAUAACACAAAAGGCUACAAUUCAGACCUGCUCCCUGCCCUACAGCACAUUGCUGGCAUUGCUGGGCAUCUGCUUACAGCACAUCAGCCUUGUUGUCCCAUCUGCUGUCUGUUCCUGAAGCUUACCUCUCCCUCCCCUCCCCUAGCCUUUAGUCCAGGUCCACCUGCAUACAGCAGGAUGGAUUUUUAGGUGGUUUCAGUGCAAAAAGAGAAUUUUUAAAUGUACAUAUGAGUGUUUGUCCACAGACAAGGAGGAUGAAGCAUAAAGCAAGAGCUGCGCCAUGCUGCUCUCUUACAGAGAGCCUCCUCUUCCCACAAGUGGAGGCUCAAAGGAGCUACAGGGAGGGGAAACUUGUUACUAGACCAAAGCAUCAGGCUGGGCCAUCCCAUGGGAGCCAGCAAGUGGUGCCUGUGAUUUCAACAGGGCCAGGAUUUGUCCUUCCCUCUUGCCCUGGGUUACUCAGAAGCAACCGCAGCCCUCCAGCUCUGCGCAGCAAGUGCCAUGAACCCACCUGCCCCGAGCACCCUGGGCUCAGUUCCAGCCUCCAGAAACCAGCUUUGAAGUCAAUGGGAAGUUCACCUCGGUCCUCAGGAGAGCAGAAUUUGACCAUCCAAUUAACAGCUAAAACACUGCCGCUUCUUAUAAGUGUAAAGUCCCAGUGGAGUUGGGGUCUCUAUGAGUAAUUGAUGGCCAGAUGGAGCUGUGGUUAUCAGUAUGACUGCAAUACUGUGCUGGGAAGAAACUCCCAGUCCAUAAGGAAGAGCAAAUGACUCCUUUUCACGUCAUACAGCAAUGGCAGGACCCACUGUUGCACUAGCUUCUUACCCAAGCCUGCUUUCACACAUCAGACAGGCCCCCAUGAUGCUCCACCAGCAUUUCACCCGAUAUGGGCUCGAUUCUGCAGCCUCAAAGUUGCAAUUUCCCCAGGAAUGUCUGGAAUUUCCCCCUUUAUGCAACACACGUUUGCAGGUUCCCGUUUUGAUGAGUGGAUAUCUUCAUUUACCGGUGGAAAUAUUCCCACACACAUGCUGUCUCUUUGAACAGCCCAAGCCUCCAGCUUAAACCCAAGGCAGAUGGAUUACCCUUCUUGAGGCCUCUAAAGACCCUGGGAUUUUUAUUUUUAUUUUUCUUUUAAGGGUGCAUGUUUUGAUUUAAACCUCACAGCUCUGAGCUGUUCCUGCCUUUCCUUCAUUUGCUUGUUUGCCACCUUGCAGAAAGCUCCGGGUUUUGCCAACUGGGAAUAAAAUGAAUCAUUUCAGUAUUAAAUGAUAAAACC
ensembl:lncRNA